AAGACUGCUCAGGAGGAAGGGGGGAAGCCAUGAUGAAGGCACAGAGAGCGGCUAAACAUCUGCAACUCUCCCUCUUUCUCUCUUGAAACACAUGGACACCCUACAAACUGCCUGCCUCCAGAGGAAAGCUGGAUGAUACUUGAGUGAUGGCUUCAUCCAAGCUGCCUUAUGGGAUGAAAUGGAUUAGACCUUGUGAGCACCACCUGAGGACUACCCAAGGGCCUGAUAAAAAUAGGAGACACACCAUCUUCAGCAAGAACCUUGAAUUUUUACACCCAAAGCACUAAACCAGCUCUGCUACUCCAUUGGAACCUCUGGGAGAGGAUUCUACAGACAACCAACCACCCUAAACCUCCAGGGACUUCUCCAGUAUACAGGCUGUGUUAUACAGAAGAGCUGUCUGACUGACUAUAGACACUGUUCUCUUGAAUAUACAGUGAAUCCAAUCAGAAUGUACGAGAUGUCACACUGGCUUGGAUCGCAAAUAUCUAGCCCAGUACUGAGUCUCUCACCAUGGCACAAAAUAAAAGCAGGGCCUACUUUGACUGACCUGUCCCCAACCCCUCUUACCUGACAGCUUUCACAUUUAGAGGCUUAGGAUGUUACGAUUUGGAGGUUGCACCCAUAAAUAUUGUGUUUAAUAUCCACCAAUGGAUAUACCCUCCAUGAAUUUGUCCCAUCUUCUUUUCAACCCAGUUAAAUUGUCAGCCUCUACAAAAUACAUUCAAAACACCCAAGUAAGCAUAGCGACCCCACUUGCACAUUGGGUAGAUUUUGUCCAAUGUACUCACUCUCGUCUGGACUGAGUAAAUCUUCCACUCUCCUGAAAUUCUUGACUUGCCUACAGUGUUAUCAGCUUGGUUUCCUAUGCUGUUCAUGCUGAUAGAACAAAGACUUCCAGAUUUCCUCCACCCACUGAAAGCAUUAAAGAGCUGACUGGCAAAGGUCAAGGCAAAUCCAGCUCUACACACCCCUUAUGUUCAAGAGGAACACAUUACCUAAUCUAGGUUUGGUUUAUUUUUCUGAUAAUUGCACCUAUGCCUGAUAACUUGCUAGGUCAACGCUCUGGAAUUUUUCACAUUUACAAAUUGCAUUGUUCUUGACCACUCAUGAUACAAUCUAUUCCAUGAUGCUGCUGCCAAAAGCAAAAGAAAAAUAUCAUCAAUUCAAGAAGGAACAUGCAUAUGAUUUAAUUCCCCUCAUGCACCAUCCAGAAGUAUCUGAACAUAGAAAAGAUAGCACAAAAUACAUGCUGCCACUACAGCUCAUCACAGCUGAACCAUGUGCCACUCCAUACAUAGAGAGACAAAGAUUUCACUUGAAGAUUUUCUGUGCAUACAAAAGGUGCUUAUAUUUUACUUGAGCUUUUCCAACUCAGUAUCAUGUCCUUCUGAGUCAAUCAACUCUCCAAAAUAAA